GCUUGGGAACUUGCCUUUGCGAGGGGAGUAACAGUUGGAACGACUGCUAAUACCGCAUAAUGUCUUCGGACCAAACGGGGACGUUCGGCUCCGGCGCAAAGAGAGGCCCAAGUGAGAUUAGCUAGUUGGUAAGGUAACGGCUUACCAAGGCGACGAUCUCUAGCUGUUCUGAGAGGAAGAUCAGCCACACUGGGACUGAGACACGGCCCAGACUCCUACGGGAGGCAGCAGUAGGGAAUCAUCCGCAAUGGGCGAAAGCCUGACGGUGCAACGCCGCGUGAGUGAUGAAGGUUUUCGGAU
rnacentral:rRNA from 1 species